GCUAUACAUGCAGUCGAGCGAAUGGAUUAAGAGCUUGCUCUUAUGAAGUUAGCGGCGGACGGGUGAGUAACACGUGGGUAACCUACCCAUAAGACUGGGAUAACUCCGGGAAACCGGGGCUAAUACCGGAUAAUAUUUUGAACUGCAUAGUUCGAAAUUGAAAGGCGGCUUCGGCUGUCACUUAUGGAUGGACCCGCGUCGCAUUAGCUAGUUGGUGAGGUAACGGCUCACCAAGGCGACGAUGCGUAGCCGACCUGAGAGGGUGAUCGGCCACACUGGGACUGAGACACGGCCCAGACUCCUACGGGAGGCAGCAGUAGGGAAUCUUCCGCAAUGGACGAAAGUCUGACGGAGCAACGCCGCGUGAGUGAUGAAGGCUUUCGGGUCGUAAAACUCUGUUGUUAGGGAAGAACAAGUGCUAGUUGAAUAAGCUGGCACCUUGACGGUACCUAACCAGAAAGCCACGGCUAACUACGUGCCANCAGCCGCGGUAAUACGUAGGUGG
rnacentral:rRNA from 1 species